rnacentral:rRNA from 1 species
AUAGCUCGGGGAAACUCGAAUUAAUACCGCAUACUACCUACGGGAGAGAGGGGGCAACUUGUUGGUCUCGCUAUUAGAUGAGCCUAAGUCGGAUUAGCUAGAUGGUGGGGUAAAGGCCUACCAUGGCGACGAUCUGUAGCUGGUCUGAGAGGAUGAUCAGCCACACCGGGACUGAGACACGGCCCGGACUCCUACGGGAGGCAGCAGUGGGGAAUAUUGGACAAUGGGGGCAACCCGUGAUCCAGCCAUGCCGCGUGUGUGAAGAAGGCCUUUUGGUUGUAAAGCACUUUAAGCAGUGAAGAAGACUCCAUGGUUAAUACCCAUGGACGAUGACAUUAGCUGCAGAAUAAGCACCGGCUAACUCUGUGCCAGCAGCCGCGGUAAUACAGAGGGUGCAAGCGUUAAUCGGAAUUACUGGGCGUAAAGCGAGCGUAGGUGGCUUGAUAAGUCAGAUGUGAAAUCCCCGGGGCUUAACCUGGGAACUGCAUCUGAUACUGUUAGGCUAGAAUAGGUGAGAGGAAGGUAGAAUUCCAGGUGUAGCGCUGAAAUGCGUAGAGAUCUGGAGGAAUACCGAUGGCGAAGGCAG